GUCGAAAAAAGACUUUAAUCGCAGGGCUUCCAAUGCCUUGUGGAGCUAAAACAAGGGAGGGUUGCUUUUUCUUUUGAAAGCCUCGCCCUUCAGGGCGGGGAGGAGGUCAGAGCAGUCU
rnacentral:misc_RNA from 1 species